rnacentral:rRNA from 1 species
CCUACGGGAGGCAGCAGUGGGGAAUAUUGCACAAUGGGCGAAAGCCUGACGCAGCAACGCCGCGUGAGCGAUGAAGGCCUUCGGGUCGUAAAGCUCUGUCCUCAAGGAAGAAAAAGACGGUACUUGAGGAGGAAGCCCCGGCUAACAACGAGCCAGCAGCCGCGGUAAUACGUAGGGGGCUAGCGUGAUCCGGAAUUACUGGGCGGAAAGGGUGCGUAGGUGUUUUCGUAAGUAAGAGGUGAAAGGCUACGGCUAAACCGUAGUAAGCCUUUGAAACUGGGGAACUGGAGUGCAGGAGAGGAGAGUGGAAUUCCUAGUGUAGCGGUGAAAUGCGUAGAUAUUAGGAGGAACACCAGUGGCGAAGGCGGCUCUCUGGACUGUAACUGACACUGAGGCACGAAAGCGUGGGGAGCAAACAGGAUUAGAUACCCGGGUAGUC